AGUGAACGCUGGCGGUAGGCCUAACACAUGCAAGUCGAACGGCAGCACAGUAAGUGCUUGCUCUUACGGGUGGCGGGUGGCGGACGGGUGAGGUAUACAUCGGAAUCUACUUUUUGGUGGAGGCUAACGUAGGGAAACUUACGCUAAUACCGCAUACGACCUACGGGUUAAAGCAGGGGAUCUUUGGACUUUGCGGGGGGGGAUGGGCUGGUGGCGGGUUAGCUGGUUGGGGGGGUAAAGAGCCAGCAAGGCGGCGAUGGGUUGGCGGGAUGAGAGGAUGGACAGCCACAUUGGGACUGAGACACGGCCCAGACUCCGACGGGAGGCAGCAGUGGGGAAUAUUGCACAAUGGGCGGAAGCCUGAUGCAGCGACGCCGCGUGGGGGAUGACGGCCUUCGGGUUGUAAACUCCUUGCACCAUCGACGAAGGUUUUCUGACGGUAGAUGGAGAAGAAGCACCGGCUAACUACGUG
rnacentral:rRNA from 1 species